AAACAGUAACCUAGAGGACGCGAUGCGGCGACAUGCUGGGGAGUUGUAAGGGAAACAGUAACCUAGAGGACGCGAUACGGCGACAUGCUGGGGAGUUGUAAGGGAAACAGUAACAUAGAGGACGCGAUACGGCGACAUGCUGGGGAGUUGUAACGGAAACCUCAAGGAGAACGUAAGGGAAAUACUCAGAGAAAGACUGGGAGAGAUGUGUCAACCAACUCAACAUUGUCAGGAACGAACACAAAGAAGGAUCCCUGUUGCCAACUAAAUUAGGUUGAUACAAAUUAGCCAACUUUGUGCUAGAAACCAAAGAGUUGGAGUGUAGAGUUUUCAAUGCUAAUAAGUUCACAAUUUAAGCGGAUUGUGAGAAUUUGCUUUACCCCCCCCCCCCCCCCCCC